rnacentral:rRNA from 1 species
UGACGGUAACUUACCAGAAAGGGACGGCUAACUACGUGCCAGCAGCCGCGGUAAUACGUAGGUCCCGAGCGUUGUCCGGAUUUAUUGGGCGUAAAGCGAGCGCAGGCGGUUUAAUAAGUCUGAAGUUAAAGGCAGUGGCUCAACCAUUGUUCGCUUUGGAAACUGUUAAACUUGAGUGCAGAAGGGGAGAGUGGAAUUCCAUGUGUAGCGGUGAAAUGCGUAGAUAUAUGGAGGAACACCGGUGGCGAAAGCGGCUCUCUGGUCUGUAACUGACGCUGAGGCUCGAAAGCGUGGGUAGCGAACAGGAUUAGAUACCCUG